GACAACCAUAAUAUUUCAAUUGAUGAAAAUUAGCUUGGAAUAGAUGAAAAUGAAUACAUAUAUGGGAGUUGCAACAAUCAUAAAAUGUAAGCUAGUUACUCACAAAAAUAUACAGAUCAAACUUUGACGCACGAAACUUCAUCUUAAUUAGGGGAAGUGAAUUGAGAACCUGAGAACCUCAAAUAAUCAGAUGCGUGUGAAAAAUAACAAAAGAAAUAUUUUUCUUUCAUUUUUCCUUUCCUCAGCAAACCACAUUUGAUCAAGGACAGCCCCUAUAAAUGGUCUAGCAAUGAGUUCAUGGGUAAAAUUAGAAAGAUAGCUAUAUGAAAU
rnacentral:lncRNA from 1 species